UACAGAGGGGGCAAGCGUUGUUCGGAAUUACUGGGCGUAAAGGGCGCGUAGGCGGCCUGCUAAGUCGAACGUGAAAUCCCCGGGCUCAACCCGGGAACUGCGUCCGAUACUGGUUGGCUUGAAUUCGGGAGAGGGAUGUGGAAUUCCAGGUGUAGCGGUGAAAUGCGUAGAUAUCUGGAGGAGCAUCGGUGGCGAAGGCGACAUCCUGGACCGGUAUUGACGCUGAGGCGCGAAAGCCAGGGGAGCAAACGGG
rnacentral:rRNA from 1 species